GAAUAAACAACAAUCUCAGCAUAACUAAUUCCAAUAUAACCAAUCUCAGCAUAACUUACACCGACAUAACUUAUACCGAUAUAAAUCAUAUUCUAACCAAAGUACCCCUAAAAACGUAAACUACGUGAAACUAGAAUUCAAGAAGGACGAGACUUAUCAAACAAGCAAGAAGGGUAAAGGAAGUGAAGAACCAUUAAUGCAAGGGCUGGUGCACAAAUAUGAAACAUCAUGAUUAAUGCAUUCAUAUGGAUAGAGGUAAGAGUAAGAAUAUAAUUCACCAAAACAAAUGCGGCACGGUGAUCUUAUUUCCUAUAGUUGAGACAAAGGGAUAAUGGGACACGUUCAGCAUGAGAACCAAAGUGGAAAUUAAGGGCUACAAUCCAAGUAGGACACAAAUGAAACAUAAAUCAAAUCACCAACAUAUCAUAUAAUUGUCUC
rnacentral:lncRNA from 1 species